rnacentral:rRNA from 1 species
UGAGUAACCUGCCCUAGGCUUUGGGAUAACCCUCGGAAACGGGGGCUAACACCGGAUAUGACUUCUUGCCGCAUGGUGGGGGGUGGAAAGUUUUUCGGCCUGGGAUGGGCUCGCGGUCUAUCAGCUUGUUGGUGGGGUGAUGGCCUACCAAGGCGACGACGGGUAGCCGGCCUGAGAGGGCGACCGGCCACACUGGGACUGAGACACGGCCCAGACUCCUACGGGAGGCAG